rnacentral:lncRNA from 1 species
GGGUCUAUUUUAUUUCCACUCAAAAGGAAGUGCAUAAGAUAGUACGAUGAUUAAUCAGUGAGUGAAGGUUAAGGUAUUGAAUUCUUAUAUAUUGUUUCUCUUUCACGACGUUACCUUUUGUCCUUUUUUUUUUUUUUUUUGCUUUCCUUUUUUCCUUGUUUUGGUGGAUUGGUGAGGUGGAUAGGUGACAGUUGCAACUUCCAACCAACUGCCUUUUGUAUGCUCGACGGUCUCUGUGCCCAAAUCCUCAGUAUACCUAUUUAGGAAACCUUUCCAAAACAGAAUUUCUAAUAAAACUUGAACCUUACAACUUCCUCGUAUUCUUUGCCUUGCACUUCUCAACUUAAUUGGAACAUGGUCAUUACAAUACUGCCAAUGUAUAAUAAUAUAGCCACUUGCUCACACCCCAC